AAGCUUGCAUGGUAUGCCUAUGG
rnacentral:siRNA from 1 species